AUUAAGUUGUAGUUAAACUAAAAUAAUGCUUGAUGCAAAUUAUUAGAUUGCCAAAUUUCAUUUAGAUGGGAUAAUGCAAAUAAUUAUUAGAUUUGAAUUAAAAUUAUUACACUAACGGGAAAACGAUAACUACACCUCUGUAGUUUGGUUAAAUGUUAUGUGGACCUCAAGUUUUCAACAAUGAACAUCAUAACCCCUUUUUGUUACUUUUUACUAUUUAUUUAGAUUAAAAAAAAGAAUAUUUCAAUACUUUUGCUUUGCGUUGACUUCGAAUUUUAAAAAAGAGUCACUUCUCACUUUGGCCUUUUUUCUCUUUUUUCUCUUUUUUCUUUUUCGAUAAGUGUUGAGUGUUAGAAAGUAUAUAUUUAUAAAGGAGAAAAUCGUUAUUUUACAUUUCAAGUCUUACUAACACUUCUACUUUUAUGUAUUUUAGUCUCUUGUAAUUUAAUUAUGUGUGUUUUAUUUUAAUUAAAUAUUUUAUGUAUUUUCAGGGAAUCAUAGUUAUUUUACAAUGAACGAGAGUUCAGAAAGCAAAACGGACAUCACUUUUAAACUCAAGACAGUCGCAAACCUUAAGAGGAGCAUAAAAGGAAAAAUGACACUAUUCACAUAUACGGUACUGUCAACGUUACUGUUCACGACACUGUUCACAUAGACGGAUCAAUGACGUAGAUUUGACCGAUGAUGUGGUAUUGACUGAUGAGGUGUCACGAUCCUAUGGGACUAAAAUUCUUUUGUACUGUUGAUCGGUGACGUAGCAGCAUGUUAGUGGACUAAAAAUCGCGCAUACUGUACAUGCAUAUACACAUGAUUAUUUUCAAUCAAACCGCAUCACUGUUCAAACCGCGUCACUAUUCAAACCGCGUGGUCAAACCGUGUUACUAUUCAAACCGCGUGGUCAAACCACGUACUGUUGACUGAUGACGUGGCGCAAUCCUGAGCGUCUAAAAUGUUUUUAAUUCGAUGGCCAUGAUUUACUCAGUGUAUCUAUAAAAAGGGGGCUCUCCCCUUUAAUUUGGCAUCUCUGAAUUCAUUUUUGAGUUCAAAUUUCUAUAAUUCCUUCUCCAUCUUGUAUUUUCUACGUAUUUUAAUAAAUUUUCAUUUUGCCCCUAGUUCAAUUAUGAGUAGUUAAUUUUCUUUCAAGCUUGGGUUGAAGGUGAAGUCUCAACAUGUGUCAUGGGCUUUAUUUGGUAAAUUUAUUUUCUCUUCCCCUCUAAUUUUUGUGGAUCUUUUGAUUUUUCGUCGACAAAUAGUAAUAAUCUUGUCUAGAUACCGCCCUGGUUUGACCGGCUCCCUAAUAAAAGGUUAUUAUUAUUUGGCACGAUAAGCCCUUAGCACCAUACUGAUUAGAGUGUGGUGCAUAAGGUGUGGAUUCUCCCUUCAUGGUUUAAUUAGCACUAAUAAGGAAUAUUUAGCCCAUGGUGCAUGUUGAUGCGGAUCCAGAUACUCAAACUCUUCAAUUAUUAUAGUUUCCACUUUAGUUUAAUUCUGCCAUUUCAAUUUAAAUUUUAGGAUAUUCCAAAUAAUCUUUACCAUAAAUCCAACCACCCAUAUCGAAGAUUAAUUCUACACGUAAUUAAAAAUCCACCUCCUCAUGGGAUUGUCACUCGUCUCCAUUAAUCUAUUCUACAAUAGAUUCGUGCACUUGCGAGUUCAAUAAAAUUUGCACAACAAGUUUUUGGCGCCAUUGCCGCGGAGGGAAAUCUCAGAGUUUACCCAAAGAGAAGACGAGCAGUUUUUUGAAAUAUAGGAGCAAUUCAAUGGGCUGCUCUUGAAGUAUAAACAUCAUGGGUAUGAGAAAUGGCACCAAUGCUAAUACGUUUUGGAGGGAUUACUGCCGCGUGUGCAAGAAUGGCUAAUGGCAACAAGUGGAGGAGAGCUAAUGUCAAAAAGUGCAUAAGAGAUUUGGAAAUUCUUCCAGCGACAAGCGGAUAAUUCCCAACAACGGAGUCGAUCGCUCAGGAAUACUAAAAGAAUUAAAGGAGUAAAUGAGGUUCACAUUGGCGAGUCAAGUUCGGGAAUUAAAGAAGUUAAAGAAAUGGUUGAAGGUCUCUCUCGACAAAUAGCAUCGUUAUCGAGUGAUAAAUCAAUAGAGCCACAUGAUCAUGACUCAUACUCAGAUUAAGCCAAUGCCAUAGGUGUAAUGAGAAAACCAUCAAAUUACAACCCAUACUCCAACACAUAUAACCCUGGAUGGAGAGACCACCCCAAUUUUUCAUGGUCUCAAGGAUUCCAACAGAGUGGACCAGCAGCUCUAGCUCUACCAAUGCAACCAAUUCCUCAAGUUUCCCAAGCCUCUCAGCAACCAUUUAGACCAUACAAUCAGAACCAGAACUACUCUCAACCCAUACCAUGGGAGAAUGCAUUCCAGAAUUUCAGGAAUGUUACUCACUCCACGAUCAAGCAACAGAACCGCAACAUUGAUGAACUAUGAAAUGAGAUGAGAGCAGGCUUCAACUCACAAGCCCAAUCAGUUUCAAGCCUCGAGAAGAUGGUGGGAUAGCUUGCUUCUUCAGUUCAAACUUUGGCAAUGACUAUUGAGAAAAGUAAAUUUCCAAGUCAACCAGUGCCUAAUCCUAAAUGAGUGCAUGAAGCAAGUACCAGUGCACCACAGUAGCAUGGAGAGGUCAAAGCAAUCAUGACCUUACGAAAAGGAAAAGAAGUCGACAAUAAAGUAAAGAUGCCGGUGAUAAAAGAAAAUCAAAUUGUACUUGUAAAUGCUGAGGAAUCAUCAUCGGAGGAAAAAGAAGAAACCAACCCAUGAGAAUACGUUCCCAAAGCUCCUUUUCCUCAAAGGUUAGCUAAAGGAAAGAAGGAAAAAUCCACAGGUGAGAUUUUUGAAAUCUUCAAACAAAUAAGUGUUAAUAUCCCUUUGCUUGAUGCUAUAAAACAAGUGCCAUCUUAUGCCAAGUUUCUUAAAGGCCUUUGUACUAAAAAGAGAAAUAUUCACGUUCAAAAGAAGACAUUUUUAACAAAAAAUGUUAGUUCUAUACUCUAACACAAAAUUUCUCUGAAAUGUAAAGACCCAUGCUCCCCCACUAUCUCAUGUAGUAUAGGGAACUGCACAAGUGAGAAUGCUUUGUUGGACUUAAGAGUUAGUGUAAAUCUGUUACCCUACUCAGUAUUUGUGAAACUUGGACUGGGUAAAUUACACCCAACUCCCGUGGUGUUACAACUUACAGAUCGAUCCAUGAAAAUAUCUCGUGGUAUUGUGGAGGACGUGCUUAUCUAGGUAGACAAGUUUUAUUUUCCUGUUGAUUUCAUUGUAAUUGACACUCAACCAAUCCAGAAUUUAAGGAAGCACAUCCCCAUUAUCCUAGGUCGACCUUUCUUGGCAACUGCCGAUACUCACAUUCAAUGCAGUACUGGAAAUAUGCAAUUGUCCUUCGGCAACAUGACUAUGGAGCUAAAUAUUUUCAACAUUACCAAACAACCUCACAAUGCAGAUGAUGGAAUUGUUGAUGUGGAUUUAAUAGAAACAUUAGUUGAUGAUGCUUUUCUUUCAAACCUUAGUGAUGAUCCUUUACAAACAUGCUUAACUCACUUUGGUUUGGAUUUUGAUAUUGACAGAUCGGUCGAUAAGGUCAACGCCCUGCUUAACUCAGCACCAUCCAUGGACACUAAUAAAUAGAAGUCAAGAGUUGAACAACUAGUACCAUCAAAGAAGAAACUCAUCCCAUCAUCGGAAUCACCACCGAAACUCGAGCUCAAACCAUUACCUAACACUUUGGAAUAUAUUUUUUUAGGAGAAAAAAGUACUUUGCCGGUAAUCAUCUCAUCAUCCCUAAAUGACGAACAAAAAGGUAAGUUGUUAGAUGUUUUAAAAGAGCACAAACGAGCAUUAGGAUGGACCAUAGCCAACAUAAAAGGUAUAAACCCAGUAGACUGCAUGCAUUAUAUUCACCUUGAUGAAAAUGCUAAACCUACUAGGGAAAUGCAACGUCGGUUAAAUCCUAACAUGAAAGAAGUUGUUAGAACUGAAGUCUUUAAGCUAUUAGAUGCAGGUAUCAUUUACCCUAUUUAUGAUAGUUCAUGGGCCAGUCCUGUACAAGUUGUCCCCAAAAAGUCAGGAGUCACAGUAGUUACUAAUGUUGAUAAUGAAUUGAUACCCACUAGAGUGGCUACAAGAUGGCGUGUAUGCAUUGAUUAUAGAAAGUUGAAUUAUGUCACACGUAAAAACCAUUUUCCUUUACCAUUUAUCAAUCAAAUGCUUGAUAGAUUAGCAGGCCAUGAAUUUUAUUACUUUCUAAAUGGUUACUUAGGAUAUAAUCAGAUUCCUAUAGCACCAAAAGAUCAAGAGAAAACCACUUUCACUUGCCCUUUUGGUACUUUUGCAUAUAGGAGGAUGUCAUUUGGAUUAUAUAAUGCACAUGCUACAUUUCAACGAUGCAUGUUGAGCAUUUUUUCUGAUAUGGUUGAACGAUUCCUUGAAGUUUUAAUGGAUGACUUUUCUGUCUUUAGUGAUUCAUUUGAUCAAUGUUUACAUCAUAUAACACUAGUUCUGUAGAGAUGUAUCGAGAAGAAUUUAAUCUUAAAUUGGGAGAAGUGUCAUUUUAUGGUAAAAUAAGGUAUUAUUCUCGGUCACAUCAUUUCAAGCAAAUGUAUUGAGGUUGACAAAGUAAAGGUGGAUCUCAUUUCUAAUCUUCCUCCACCCAAAACAGUUAGAGAAGUAAGAUCUUUCCUUGGGCAUGAUGGGUUUUAUAGACAUUUCAUUAAGGAUUUUAGCAAAGUUUCUAGACCCUUAUGCAAUCUACUUGCUAAAGAUGUACCUUUUAUCUUUGAUGAUUCAUGUCUUGUGGCAUUAGAAAAAUUAAAGUAGUUGUUGACAUCAUCACCUAUCAUUCAACCCCCAAACUAGAGCUUACCAUUUGAGCUCAUGUGUGAUGCAUCUGAUUAUGCAGCAGGAGCAGUUUUAGGACAAAAAGUUGAUUAAAUUUCCUAUGUUAUUUAUUAUACUAGUAUGACAUUGAAUGAUGCACAGUUGAACUAUUCAACUACUAAAAAAGAAAUAUUAGCAGUAGUGUUUGAAAUGGAGAAAUUUCAAUCUUAUCUCAUUGGUUGUAAAAUAAUUGUAUUUACAGAUCAUGCUGCUCUUAAAUAUCUUCUCACAAAGAAAGAUGCAAAAGCUAGACUAAUUCGUUGGGUGUUACUUUUGCAGGAAUUCGACUUGAAAUUUAAAGAUAAGAAAGGCACAGAAAUGUUGUGGCAGACUAUCUCUCUCGUUUCAAUUUUGACACAAUUACAGAACCAUUAACAUUGAAUGAGUCAUUUCCAGAUGACCAAUUGAUGAGUGCGGAAGUGUGACCGUGGUAUACUGAUAUCGUUAAUUAUCUCGUUACAGGUCAACAUCCAGAGCAUUGGACCAAGUAGGACAAAGCCAAAUUUUUUACAGAAAUAAAGAAUUUCUUUUGGGAUGACCCUUAUAUGUUCAACUAUUGUGCAGAUCAAAGUGUUAGGCGAUGUGUCCUAGAAAGUGAAAUUCAGAAUAUUCUUUCAUUCUGGCAUGAACAAGCUUGUGGAGGCCAUUUCAGUGCUAAGAAAACAGCUACUAAAGUUUUACAAUGUGGUUUCUAUUGGCCAACUAUAUUUCGAGAUGCUUACAUUUUUUGUUCUUCAUGUGAUAGGUAUCAACGAAUGGGGAGCAUUACACGAAGGAAUAUGAUGCAAUUAAAUAUAAUUUUAGUGGUUGAGAUUUUUUAUGUAUGGGGUAUCGACUUCAUGGGACCCUUUCCCCCUUCUUUUGGCCAUCAAUACAUAUUGGUUGCUGUUGACUACGUAUCGAAAUGGGUAGAAGCAAUUCCAUGUAGAACCAAUGAUUACAAGGUGGUGAUAGGAUUUUUGAAAAGCAACAUUGUUUCACGCUUUGGAUUCCCUCGAGCAAUAAUCAGUGAUGGAGGUACCCACUUUUGUAACAAAGUAUUCAAAACUCUUUUGACAAAGUAUUCCAUCACUCACAAAGUGGCGACCUCAUAUCAUCCGCAAAUCAGUGGCCAAGUUAAGAUCUCCAGUCGAGAAAUAAAGCACAUAUUAGAAAAGACGGUGAGGCCAGACAUAAAAGAUUGGUCAUUAAGACUUGAUGAUGCAUUAUGGGCAUAUAGAACGACUUUUAAGACCCCAAUUGGGAUGUCACCCUACAGGCUAGUGUAUGGAAAAACUUGCCACCUACCUGUGGAACUCGAGCAUCGUGCAUAUUGGGCCAUUAAGAAAUUCAAUUUUGACAUGUAGUAAGCUAGCUCAGAAAGAAGAUUACAGCUGGUAGAACUUGAAGAAAUUCGUAAUGAUGCAUACGAAAAUGCCAAGAUUUACAAGCAACGAAUGAAAGUCUUUUAUGACAAGCAAAUUAUGAGAAAAUCUUUCACUCUAAGUCAGAAAGUACUUUUUAUUCAAUUCUCGCUUGCACCUAUUUCCAGGUAAAUUAUGCUCUCGAUGGUCUGGUCCCUUUAUUGUUCACACUGUUUUUCCACAUGGGGCAAUUGAAAUUAAGGACCCAAAGAACGGUGUCACAUUUAAAGUUAAUGGUCAAAGAUUAAAGCCAUAUCUAGAGUACCAACCACAUAGAGAGGACACCGAAAUAAAUUUGAGUGACCCACUAGAUUUGAAUUGAGAUUUUUCUUUUUUUUGGUGAUUUGAUUUUUUUCUUUCUUUUUACUGUUCUUUUGCUAAUUGAAAUUAUUUUUGCAUAAGUGUGUUUGUUUAACAAUUAAGUUUUCUCUUAUCAUUAUUAAUCAUGAGUGCCUUAGCUAAACAGAUCCUCCUGGAUAUUCUUAGACCACUUCAACGUGUAAAAUCUCAUCUUAAAAGGUAGAUUCGAUUUUAUAAAACACAUCAUAUUUGGGCUCUACAACCACCAGAGUUAGUAUCCCAUGUUGAGGAUUUAGAAAGCCAACUCAGAGACAUUAAGGGAGGUGUUUGCAACAUCCAGUUGGAGCUUGAGGUAAAUUCAAUAAGAGGACGAUUGUAAUUUUUUUUUGUAUAUUUUAGUUUGUUUCUUUGUUUGUGUGCUUUAGUUUGUUACCCCGGUAAAGUGGCAGAUAACGAUACUCCGUGACAAUCAAGUCGAUUAUUUCAAUUUCCCACAAUAACUGAUAUUUUGAGGCGAAGGUAUGGACAGAAACGAGAUUCUAGCAAAACUUCACAAUUGAUUCCCUCCACUUCCUCAGAAUGCCCUCCUUACAAUCUAUAAAGCUCGGUCCGAACGCAUGUGAUUGCUCAUGAGGAAUAACAUACCUACUGACAUCCGCUAGUUAAUCGAGGCUAAAGUACGAUUGGCAAGUGAGUUACCUCCUAAAUUUAUUGCAUACAUGUCUGGUUGUGGUAAAGGAAAUUAUGCAAGAAAACGAUGAGCUCGAAGAAUUUCUGUUGCUUGUCAUAAGUGUGCCAGAAUGAGAUGCUAUAAAAAAUCAUAUUCUUUAGGAAUGGUGUCUGAUAACAGGGAAGAUAAGAUUCAAUUCAUUAGGGAUGGCUUGAAUAAAGAGUCAUUGGAUGAUAUCCUUUUGUCUCUUAAAACGCAUCCCAGUGGAUAUGUAUAAGGAGUGAUUCUCCAGUUAUGGCCAUUAUUCCAGAAAGAGCAUGCACGAUAUAGUCUCGGAAAUCUGACCAUAAACGACCUUAUUUGCCAUUUUAUAAGAAAACUGGAUUGGAAGCCUAUCAUCGACCCAUAGAGGGCGUUCAAGCCGUUUCUGGACGUAAACUCAGAGGAAGAUGUGAGCCACAGUCGCAACCAUCUGUAAAUAGCCUUUUUCUUCACUGUUGUUUUAUCAUUUGCAUUAUUGUCUUUAAUAAUUUUAUUUUAUCAUUUUUUCCUUUUUUACUGUUUCCUUUUUGACUCUCGAGCCAUGUGCUUUACACGUUAAUUGAUACUAGCAUGCUACCUCAUACACAGUUGUGACCCACUACCACCAAGAUUCUUAAAUAUGAUUUUUUGUUAAGCACUCACAAAUUGUUUUUGAUAAGUAUCUUAAUGGCAGCUACUCCAAAUAAACAAUUCAAGAAUAUUUGUGUGCUUUCUGGAUUUAACUAUGACAAGCAUAAAGAGUUCGUUGAGGCAACCAUAGAUCUUGGUCGAAGUAUAGCACAGAGAAAAUUACACUUGGUGUAUGGAGGAGGUAAUCGAGGGUUAUCAAAAUUGGUCUUAGAAGCUACUUUUGUUAGAGGAAGCCAAGUGUUAGGCAUCAUUCCAAGAGUCUUAAAACCUUUAGGCAGUUUAUCUCACUCACUGACUAAAGAAGAAUUAGUCGUCUCAGGUAUGCAAAAAAGAAUAACUUAAAUGCUUAAUCAUGCUGAUACUUUUAUUUUCCUGCCAGGAGAUCUUUCAACUCUAGAGGCACUUAUCACAUUAGCAUCUUGGGUCCAUCUGCACAUUCAUCAUAAACCUAUCGGUUUGUUAAAUGUCAAUAACUUUUAUGAUGACUUCAUCGCAUUUCUUAACUAUGUAAUAAAAAACUAUUUCAUUCAUUCCACAACGAAAAUUGUUUUUAUUUGUACUCACACUGCUAAUGAGCUACUUAGUCUGUUACAAGCUUAUAGACCAGAGCCAGACCUUGGGACCUUUGUGUUGGAGUCUCCAAAUAAUGAUGGUAACAGUAGCCGCAGUAAGAAGUAUAAAUUAGAUUUAACUCUCCGCUUGUAAAUAUUUUCGUCUGUGUUGCACCACCCAGGUGAUUUCUUUUAAACUCUAUUUCUUUCCUUUCAAACAUUGAGGACAAUGUUUCGUUCUGGUUGGGGGGAGGGAAUAGUUGACAAUUGUGUAAUCUUGGUUACGUUUUUAUUGAUUUUUUGUUGUAGAGACUAACCAUGGCUAACGUUUUGUGUUAAUGAUGGCUGAAUAUGGAGUGUAGUUACUCUAGAAACGCAUCUUCUUCGUUUAAAAAAAACAAACAAAAUACAUUCCAGACAUUUUCUUUUUCUUUAUUAAGUUUUGACAAUUAUUUUUCUUCUUCUCUCUAAUUUCUCCUUUAUAAAUAUACACGUUCGAAUUUUUGAGUCAAAGAUGGCUGAAUAUGGAGUGUAGUGACUCUAGAAAUGCAUCUUUUCAGUUAAAAAAAUACCAUUUUCUUUUUCUAUCAUUUUAAGUGUAACUUUUCUAAUUAGUUUUCCUGCAUCAUUUUUCACCUUUUUGCAUGCAUAUUUUCCUUUCAUGUUUAGAAUAGGUUGAGGGGUAGAAUGUUGUUUGAACUAAAUUUUUUUUUGGUGUGAUUUGUUUUAACAUUGGAUGAGAUGAUGAAUUUCAAAUUUUAGUAUUUGUAUUAUCUUUAGUCUUAAGUGAUGUUACGCCAUGUUUGUUACUCUACAUGUUGAUGUCGGAGACAAAUAUAAGUUGCUUGAAGGAAUGCACAUGUCAUAAUGAAUACCAAGUGAGUUUUUGAGCCUGUCAUUUUUCUUGAAAAGUAACAAUUUUUGUCCAUUCUUCAUACAGCUUAGCAGUUUAUUAUUUUAUACAUGAUCUCUAUAUUUCUUUUGAGCCAACCCUUUAAAAAAAAUUAUAAAAAAAAAGAAAGAAAAUGUGUUGCUACAUCUGGAGGUCCAUCUAACUAGUAGAUAUGGAAGAUUAUUUGGAGCCCUAAAAGACGAUGGAAAGGCUAUCUUUGACCCGUUUGAGCCUUUCUAGCCAUCAUUUUUAUGAAAUAUCCAUAGUUAACCAUUUUGAGCCUUAAAAAAAAAAUUUUUUCUUUGUCAACUUAUCAUCUUGACCCACUCCGAUUUGGAGUAUUACCCAAUAUCUUACAAGUUCCAUCACUUAUUUAUGUUUGAGCAAAAAGUAAAUAAUUAUUUUGUUCAAUGACGUUGUGCCAAACAAAAGCAAAAAAAAAAAAAAACAACAAAAAACCAAAAAAAAUUGUUGUUUCAAAAAAAGAAAAAAAGAAAAAAUGAUAAUAAUAAAUAAGCAAAAUGCAUAUUGUAAUUUACAAAAUAUCUCUAUUUUUUUUUCUCAAACAUAUAUUUUGUUUUUCCUAUUUUCCUUCAUUUGUUAACCAUGACCCUAGGCUAUGUUACGUCUUAAUAAAAGUCCUUCUUAGUUUUAGGGAUGUAUAGUCUAAAGUAGAAGCUAGUCUUAUGGGCUAAAAAGAUGUAGUGAUGCAUAAAAAAUAAUAAUAAAAAAAAUAAAAAAAUAAAUUGGGUUGACUAGCAUUGUGUUUGACUUAAAGAUCGUGUUAUUUCUAAGCUUUGGGCAUAUUUCUUUCAUCUUGGUGAGAGCAUGUAAUAUUAUUUCCUUAUUGUCUUUCUCUCAAUUUACUAUUCAUUGAAGUGACUAUUUUUAUUAGAUUUAAUUUCUUUGUGAGAGUGUCACUCUACCGGUGAGCUUUUGGGGUUGACAUGUCAUUCUUGAAAGUGGCUUGAUUACUAUAAUUAUGACAAAUUCUGCUGGUCUAAUGCAUGUGGAUGGUUGAUGUGGGUGUGAUAUUUCUUUAGACUGGAGAUAAUGCGUAUACUUUUAUUUGAUUGUUAUCAUUAGUCUGAUUAAAUAAAUAUGAGUGUUUUAAAAAAAAAAUUAGAUUUGAAUUUUGUUUUCGCUUUAUUUGCUAGGGACUAGCAAUAAGCUGGUUGGGGGGUGUGUUGAGUGUUAGAAAGUGUAUAUUUAUAAAAAAGAAAAUCGUCAUUUUACAUUUCAAGUCUCACUAACACUUCUACUUUUAUGUCUUUUAGUCUCUUGUAAUUUAAUUAUAUGUGUUUUAUUUUAAUUAAAUAUUUUAUGUAUUUUAGGGGCAUCAUUGUCAUUUUACAAUGAAUGAGAGUUUAGAUAGCAAAACAGACAUCACUUUUGAACUUAGGACAGUUGAAAACUUUAGGAGGAGUCUAAAAGAAAAAAUGGCACUGUUUACAUAUACGGUACUAUUCACAUGUACAGUACUAUCUACGUUACUGUUCACGACACUGUUCACAUAGACGGAUCGAUGAUGUGGCAUUGACUGAUGAGGUGUCACGAUCCUGUUGGACUAAAAUUCUUAUGUACUGUUGAUUGGUGACGUGGCAGCAUGUUAGUGGACAAAAAAAUGCGCAUACGGUACAUGCAUAUACACAAGAUUAUUUUCAACCAAACCGCGUCACUGUUCAAACCGCAUCACUAUUCAAACCACGUGGUCAAACCGUGUUACUAUUCAAAUCACGUGGUCAAACCGCUUACUGUUGACUGAUGACGUGACGCAAUCCUGAGCGUCCAAAAUGUUUUUAAUCCGAUGGCCAUGAUUUACUCAGUAUAUCUAUAAAAGGAGGGCUCUCCCCCUUUAUUUGGCAUCUCUGAAUUCAUUUUUGAGUUCAAAUUUCUAUAAUUCCUUCUUCAUCUUGUAUUUUCUACGUAUUUUAAUAAAUUUUCAUUUUGCCCCUAAUUCAAUUAUGAGUAGUUAAUUUUCUUUCAAGUUUGGGUUAAAGGUGAAGUCUCAACAUGUGUCAUGGGCUUUAUUUGGUAAAUUUAUUUUCUCUUCCCCUCUAAUUUUUUGUGGAUGUUUUGACUUUUCGUCGAUAACUAGUAAUAAUCUUGUCUAGAUACUGCCAUGGCUUCACCAGCUCCCUAGUACAAGGUUAUUAUUAUUUGGCACGAUAAACCCUUAGCACCGUAUUGAUUAGAGUGUGGUUCAUGAGGUGUGGAUUCCCCCUUCAUGAUUUAAUUGGCACUAAUAAGGAAUAUUUAGCCCAUGGUGCAUGUUGAUGUGGAUCCAGAUACCCAAGCGCUUCAAUUAUUAUAGUUUCCACUUUAGUUUAAUUCUGCCAUUUCAAUUUAAAUUUUAAGAUAUUCCAAAUCAUCUUUACCAUAAAUCCAACCACCCACAUAGAAGAUUAAUUCUACACGUAAUUAAAAAUUCACCUCCUCGUGGGAUCGACACUCGUCUCUAUUAAUUUAUUCUACAAUAGAUUCGUGCACUUGCGAGUUCAAUAAAAUUUGCACAACAAUAAGCUAACCUAGUUUGCCAAUAAUAAUAAUAAUAACUAAAAUGGCUUAAAGCGCCUUUGAUUAUGAGAUUGAAGGAAUCCGCAUGGAUUUAAAAUAAAAAAUGAGAGCAAUGGAAGCAAUUAAGCUAAUCAAAACUAAAACUAACAUCCAACAUUAAAUCCCUCACAUAUAGACUUCAAUUAUAAAAAAAAUUAAAUAUUAUUGAAAGUGAAUAUGAAAUUAUUAUUAUUAUUGUAUAUUCAUUAUAUUAUUUACACAAAGAAUUAGCCUAUAUAUAGGCUUUACAUAAAGCUAAACUAGGAAACUAAAUAAAUAUAAAUAUGGCACAAAUCUUAAGGACUUAGUGAAUUAUAAUCUUGGAAUUAAUGGAGAUUUAUUGUCCUGCUUAACACCUUCUCCAACCCCCCAAACUUAAGAUGGGGUAGUAGAAGCAAGCUUGAGUUUCCAAACAAAGUGACCAAAACAACUAGGAAAAAGUGACUUGUUGAAAAGAUCAGUUGUGUUAGCUUAGCAGGACACAAAUUAAAGCUGAAUGGUACCUUGGGGGCAAUGUUGUCCAAUGAGAUGAAAAUUUGUCUAUGUGUAUUUAGUGCACUCAUCGAAGACAUCGUUGUGAGCGAUUUCAAUAGCACUUUUAUUAUCAUAGUAAAGAAAUGUAGCUCCAUAAUGAGUAAUUCCCAUGUACUUUAACCCAUAAAGUGAAGAAUAGAAAAAGCAACAAUGAUUUGUUUCUUACUACACCAAGAAAUAAGUGAAUCCUCUAAAAAGAAGCAAAUACCAGUGGCAGAGCACUAAUCAAAAGGAUCUCCUGCCCAAUCAGAAAUUAAAAAACCAUGUAGUUUUAAAGAAGAAUUGGCUGAGAAGUAGAGACAUGAAAUAUAGUACACUUAAUAUAUUGUAGGAUAUGAAUAACAGCUAGAUAAUGAGAAACCAGUGAUAUAAAGACAUUGGUUAUUUAAUUAAGAUCGAUAUCAAGCUAUCAAGAAAGAAGUCAAUAAACUAUUGGUGGCCAACUUUUUUUUUUUGUGAAGUUUUGUUAUGCAAAUUUUAUUGAACUUGCAAGUGCACGAAUCUAUUAUAGUAUAGAUUAAUAGUGACUAGUGUCGAUCUAUGAGAAGGUAGAUUUAAUUAUGUGUAGGGUUAACUUUUCAAUUUAUUAUGCAAAUUGUCAAAAGUGAUUUAUGAGCAGUACUAAGAUUUAAAAUUAAAAAAAUAAAAAUGGCAAGAAUAAAUUAAAGAUGAAACAAUGCAAAUGAAGCAAUUAAGUCUCUGGAUUCACACUCAACAUUUUUACUAUUAACUUAUUAUUCCUUUUUAGUUCUAAUUAAUUAUAAUGGGGUAUUUCCACUCUUCAUAGUCCUUGUUCUGGUGAUAUGAUAUCAAGCACUCAUUAUGGUAGGGGGAAAUAAUCUCUUGCUAAAUGUGGUGUUAAGUACACAUUGUGCUAGGUAAUAAGAGUCCAACUGUCAACAAUAUGACAAGACCGUCCACUAAAUAACUUAGAUGCACUCUCUAUCAAAACUAAGUUAAAAUUAACCACUAAUACUAGUGGGAGAUUUUCUUUAAUAAAUAUAAUGUAAAGUACUCAUCGUGCGAAAUAGUAAUGAUCUUGCACUAGGGAGCUGGUAUACCUUGUAAAAUCUAAACAAGAUUAUUACUGUUUGUCAAAGAUGAGUAAAACCAAUCCACAUGAAUCAGAAAGAAAGAGUUAAUAGACCUAACAAAUUUAAGCUCAUAGAUCAUAUUGAGGCUUCACCUUCAACUCAAGCUUGAAACUAAAAUAGUCACUCGUAUUAAACUAGGGGUAAAAUAAUAAUUUUAUACCAAAAUACAUAGAAAAUACAAGAUGGAGAGAUAAUUACACAAAAUAGAGCUUAGAAUUGGAGUUAGAGCUGUCAAAUUAACGUGGAGCCCCUUAUUUAUAGAUACAACGAGUAAAUCAUGGUCACAAGAUAAAAACAAUUCAGAUGCUAAGGUUGCGCCACGUGACAAGCUUUGAUUGGAUAGAACACGGCAUUUAGGCUAUGAUUUCGUGUAUAUGCACACAAUGUAUGUGCAUAUACUACCACGUCAUCAGUCAAUAAAAAUGUCAACAAGUUUUGAUUCAGUGUAUUACAUGUAAUGUUUGCACAUUUUUCGAUCCAAUAAUAUACCGCCACAUUAUCAGUUAACAGUAAGCAGUCGAAUAGGAUGUUGCCACUUCAUUAAUUGACAAUAAAUGGUCGAAUAUGAUGCUACCACGUCAUCGGACAAUGCCACAUCAGCUGGGCCACACCAAAACUAACAUUCAUUCAACAAUUACAAUUUUACCCUUUAUGCCCUUCCUAAGGUUUUUAACUAUUUUGAGCUUAAAAAUAUUGUCUGUUGUGUUGUUCGAUUUCUUUUUAAUUAUGAAAUAAUCAAAAUACCCUAAAAUACAUAAAAUACUCAAAUUAUAAUAAAACACACAAAAUUAAAUUUUAAAGGACUUAAAUAUGUAAAAGUAAAAAUAUUAGUGAGACUUAGAGUAUAAAAUAACGAUUUUACCCUUUAUAACAUACAUUCUUUAGCACUCAACACACUCCCUAACCAACUUAUUGUUAGUCCCUAGCAAAUUGAGUGAUAAUGCCUAGUGAAAUUCAAACCCAAAUUGAAAUUUUUUAGGCAAUUGUGUUUACUUCUUUAAUCAGAUUAAUGACAACUAUAAAAUAAAAGUACAAGCAUUAUCUCUAGCCUUAAAAAGUCACUUCCACAUCAACUAUUCACACAAAUCAGUUAGGUAAACUUAUGCGAAAUGGUCAAUUAUGAAAUCUACAUUAAUCAAGUUACUUUCAAGAACGACAUGUUGAACCCCAAACUCUCAUGGGAAAGAGUGAUACUCUCAAAAGAAAAUAAACUUAGUAGAAAUAGUCACUCCAAGUAAUGGUAGAUUGAGAAAAAAUAUUAAAAGAACAAUAUCACACACUCUCACCAAAAUAAAAUAAUAAUGUUCAUAGCUUAGAAGGAAUAUGAUCUCAGGUCAAAAUAAUUACUAAUCAAAUCAAUAUUACUUGUAUUCAUUUUUAUGCAUCACCAUAUCUUUUGGUCCAUAUUACUAUAUUUUACUUUAGACUAUAGUUCCUUAAAAUCAAAAAAGACUUUUAAUAGGACGUAACAUAAGUUAGGGACAUGGCUAAUAAAGAAGGGAUAAUAGGAAAAAUAAAAUAUAUGUUUGAGAAGAAAUAGAGAUCUUUUGGAAAUUAUAAGGUGCUUUUCACUUUCAUUUAUUUAUUUUAUUAUUUUCAUCUUUUUCUUUUUCUUUUUUACCUUUUUUGGGUAAUGCACCACUUUUUCUGAAAAAUUAUCUAUAUAUUUCUCAAACAUGGAUAGGUGAUCGAAAAUAUAAAAUAUAGGGUAAUACUCUAAAUUGGAGUGGGAUAGGAUGAUAAGUUAAUAAAGAAAUCAAUUUUUUUAUAGGCCUAAAAGAGGUAACUAUAGAUACUUCAAAAUAGGAAUGGCUAGAAAAGGUUCAAAUAGAUCAAAUAUGGCCUUUCUAUCAUUUUUUUUAAUUCUCUGAAUAGUCUUUCAAAUUUAUUAAGUCAAUGGACUUUCAGAUGUAGCAACACAAUUUUUUUAAUUGGUUGACUUACUUUCUAUGACAUAUACAUUCCUUCAAAUAGCUCAGUUAAUUUUACUCAUCAACUUUCUCAUUUCACACUUGUCACCAACAUUAACAUGCAAAGUGGCAAACAUGAUGUAAUAUCACCUAAUACCAAAGAUAAUAGAAAUACCAAAAUUUAGAAGUCAUCAUGUUAUCAAGAGAUCACACAAAAUAUCUCAAUUUUGUUUUAGGAGUAAAAAAACUCUAAGACUAAGAUGAUGUAUUUCUAGAGUAACAAAACUCCAUAUCCAACUAUCUUAAACUCAAAUUUAUCAUAUGUUAGUCUUCACAACAAAAAUUAGUAAAAUAUCACCAGGAUUGAGAAAACAUAACCACAACUAUCAAUUAUUCCCUCCCUCAACAGGAAUGAGACAUUGUCCUCAAUGUCUUAAAGGAAAGAAGUAUAGUUUAGAAGACAUCACCCGAACACUACAAUAGAAAAUAGUUACAAACAAAGAGUUAAAUAUAAUUUUUGUUUCUUACUACUGCUAGCAUCAUCAGUUGAUCAAUCCGACGUAGGAAUCUUGGGAUCUUGCUCUAGUAUGUAAGUUUGCAAAAGAUCAAGUAACUCAUUAGAAGUGGGAGCACAAAUAAACAUUUUUUUUCACUUUGACUGAAAUGAAAUGAUUCUUAAUUGUAUGAUUAAGAAAUGCUAUCAAGUUAUCAUAAAAGAUAUUAACAUUUAACAAACCAAUACACUUUUGAUAAAUGUCCAAAUGGGCCUAAGAAGCAAAUUUAAUUAGUGCUUUUAUAGUUGCAAGAUCUUUUGGUAAGAAAGUGAAAGUGUCUCCGUAGUUUAACAUCACAUAUAUUCUCUCUAACAUGCUUGAGACGACUAGCUCUUUUAUAAUUUGUAAGCCGUGCAGGCAUCCUAGAGGUUUUAGGGCUUUUGGGAUGAUACCGAGCACUUGGCUUCCUUUAGUGUAAGCAGCUUCUGAGACAAAUCUUGAUAACCUUUAUUCACUUUCUCCAUAUACAAGGUUUAUUUUUCUCCCUAUUAAGACUCGAUCAAGAUCUAUACCUGUCACAAUGAACUCUUUAUAUUUGUCACAAUGAAACUCAGAAAGCACACAAAUGUUUUUGAGUUGUCUAUUCAAAGUUGCUGCCAUUAGGAUAAUUCUCAAAAAUAAAUUAUGAAUGCUAAAAAAAGAAGCUCUAUUUGAAGAUCUUAGUGAUGGAUAUGAUGAUAUACAAUUAUAUAUGGGGUGGUGUGUUUGUCAGAUUACACCUGAAGUUCAUGGCUCAAGAGUCAAAAGCGAAUAAUAAAGAAAAGCAAGUAGUAAGUAGAUAUAAAAUCACACUAUUAAAAGUAAUAAUGCAAAUAAUAAAAUAAUAGUAAAACACAAGAUUAUGUAUUGAUAGUUGCGACUGUGACUCACAUCUUCCUUUAGUUUUAUGUAUAGAAAUGACUUGAAUGUCCUUUAUUGCUUAUAGAUAGGCUUAAUAUCUAGUUUUCUUAUAAACUGGUAAAUAGAGUCAUUGAUAAUUGGAUUCUUGAGACUAUAUCUUGCAUGUUCUUUCUAGAAUAAUAGCCAUAAAUGGGAAAUUGUAUGUACAUGUCCAUUGGAUGCGUUUUAAGAGUUGAAAAGAUGUCAUCCAAUAACUGUUUAUCCAAGCCAUCCCAAAUGAAUUGAAUCUUGUUUUCCCUGUUAUGGGACAUCAUUCCCAAAGCUUUACAAGGACGUUUGUUAUAGGUUGAUCGACCACACUUAUGAUAAGAAAUUUAGAGCCGUUUAGUUCUUUAUUUUCUUGAAUAGUUUCUUUUCCCAUAAGGCAUCUAGGUAGUAAAUUUGGGAGGUAAGUCCCCUGCCAAUCGCACUUUGGCUUCAAUUAACCAAUAGAUAUCAACAUGGAUGUUAUUCCUUAUAAGUAAUCACAAGCAUUUGAACUGAGCUUUAUAAAUUGUGAGGACUAUAUUCUAAAAAAGAGAGGGAAAUCACUUGUGAAGCUUUGUUAAAAUUAUGUUCUUAUCUAUACCUUAGCUUAAAAAUGUAAAUUAUCGUGGAAAACUGAUGAAAUCAACUUUAAUAGUUAUAGAGUACUAUUAUCUGCCACUUAAUAAUGGUAACAAAUGAUAACACACAAAAGAAAUCAAUCAUUGUCCUUUUGUUAAAUUAGUUCUUAUUGGAUAUCAUAAAUGCCACCCUUUAAUUUUCCUGAGUUGUCUUUCUACCUCUUUAAAAUAGGAUAUUAAUGCUGGUGGUCAUUGAUCCUAAACAGGAUGUGAUUUAUAAACUCGAAGCAAGUCAUUUAGGUGAUGUUUCACACGUAGAAGUUCAUGAAGGUGGUUGAAGAUGAUCUGUCUAAUUAAGGUACUCUCGAUGUACAAUACAAGUGAUAAAAGAAAAUACAAACACACUUAAGUGAGAAAUAAUCAAAUAAUUUCAAUCAACAAAAUAAAAGGACAAAAAGUUAAAUCACCCAAUAAAUGACUCAGUCAAGAUAUGGUAGGUCACUUAAAUUUAUUUAAGUGUCUUCUUCAUGUGGUUGGUACUCUAGAUAUAGUUUAACCUUUAACCAUUAGUUUUAAAAGUGACACAAUUUUUUAGAUCCUUAAUUUCAAUGUUCCUAUACAGAAAAAUAAUGUGAACAAUAAAUGGACCAUACCAUCGAUAGCGUAAUUUACUUGGGAAUAGAUGCAAGUGAGAAUUGAAUAAAAACAUUUUCUAACCUAGUGUAAAAGAUUUUUUCAUGAUAUGUUUGUCAUGAAAGACUUUCAUCUAUUACUUGUAAUUCUUCACAUUUUCAUAUCAAUGAGAAUUUCCUCAAGUUUUACUAGCCGUAAUCUUCUUUCCAAACCACCCUAUUGCAUGUUAAAGUUGAAUUUCUUGAUGGAAUAGUAUGCACAAUGAUCACGUUCUACUAGUAGAUGACAAACUUUUCUAUACACUAACCUAAAGGGAGACAUCUCAAUAGAUGUCUUGAAAACUAUUCGAUAUGCCCAUAGUGCAUCAUUAAGGGAAAGUAACACCCAUCGAAUUUGUCUGGCCUUUGCAUCUUUCCUUGUAAAAAGAUAUUUAAGGGAAGCAUGAUUUGAGAACACAAUUAUUUUACAUUCCCAUGUCAUUUACUAAUGUAGCGAUAAACUCUUUGUCCUAAUAAUGCUCCUAUUGCAUAAUCAGAUGCAUCACAUAUGAGCUUAAAAGGUAAGUUCUAGUUUAGGGGUUGAAUGAUGAAUGAUGAGGUCAAUAAUUACUUUAAUUUUUCAAAUGCCUUAAGACAUGAAUCAUCAAAGAUAAAAAAGUAUACUCUUAGCAAGUAAAUUGCAUAAGGGUAUAGAGAUUUUGCUAAAAUCUUUAAUGAAACAUCAAUAAAAACCAACAUGUUCAAGAAAAAAUCUUACUUCUUUGACUAUUUUGGGUGGAGGAAGAUUGAAAAUGAGAUCCACCUUAACUUUUUCAACCUCAUUAUAUUUGUUUGAAAUGAUGUGACAGAGGAUAGUACAUUGUUUCACCAUAAAAUGACACAUUUUCUAGUUCAAGACCAAACUCUUCUCUAUACAUCUCUACAAAAUUAGUGUUAGAUGAUGUAAACACUGAUCAAAUGAAUCACUAAAAGAAAAAAAGUAAUCUAUAAAGAUUUCAAGAAAAUUGUUCAACCAUAUUAGAAAAAAUAGUGUUAGAUGAUGUAAACACUGAUAAAAUGAAUCACUAAAAGCAAAAAAGUCAUCUAUAAAGACUUCAAGAAAAUUGUUCAACCAUAUUAGAAAAAAUACUUAACAUGUAUCAUUGGAAUGUGGCAGGUUCAUUGCCUAAUCUAAAUGGCAUUCUCCUUUGUACGAAAGUGCCAACAAGGCAAGUGAAAAUGUUUUUCUCUUGGUCCUUUAAUGUUAUAGGAAUCUAGAUAUAUCUUGAAUAACCAUCUAAAAAGCAAUAAAAUUCAUGACCCACUAAUCUAUCAAGCAUCUGAUCGAUAAAUAGUAAAUUCGUUCGAUAAAAUUCAAUUUCUUAUACUUAAUGUAUACACGCCACCUCGUGAUCACUCUAGUAGGUAUUAAUUCAUUCUCGACAUUGGUAACUACUGUAAUUCCUGACUUUUUGGGGACAACUUACAAAUGACUGACCCAUGAACUAUCAGAUAUAGGGUAAAUGAUACUUACGAUCAAUAGUUUCAAAACUCAGCUCUAAUGACUUCUUUCAUAUUAGGAUUUAGUCGGUGUUGCAUUUCCCUGGUAGGUUUAGUAUUUUCAUCAAAGUGAAUGUAACACAUACAAUUUAUUAUAUUUAUACCUUUUAUAUCGAUUAUAGUCCACCCUAAUGCCAUUUUGUGCUCUCUUAAAAUACUCAACAACUUACUCUUUUGUAUAUCAUCAAGAGAAGAUGAGAUGAUUAUUGACAUAGUAUUUUCCUUUCCUAAGAAUGCAUGUUUCAAAGUAUCAUAUAAUGGUUUGAGCUCAUGUUUUGGUAGUGAUUCUGAUAAUGGGCUGAGUUUCUUCCAUGAUGGUGCUAGUUGCUAUAUUCUUCCCUUCCAUUUAUUGGUUUCUAUAGGUAGUGAUGAAUCGAGUAAGGUAUUGACCUCGUCAACUAGUUUGUCAAUAUCAAAAUCCAAACCAAAAUAGGUUAAACAUAUUUGUAAAUGGUCAUCGCUAAGGGUAGAAAGAAAGAUAUGAUCAACUAAUUCUUUAAUUAAAUCCAUAUCAACAAUUCUUUUAUCUCUAUUGUAAGGUUGCUUGGCUAUCUUAAAGAUGUUCAACUUCAUAGUCAUAUUGCCAAAAGAGAACUGCUUAUUUCCAAUCAUGUAUUGAAUAUAAGCAUCGAUAGUUGCCAAGAAAGGUCAGCCUAGGAUAAUGAGGACAUAUUUCUUUGACUCUUGCACUGGUUGAGUGUCAAUCAUAAUAAAACCUAUAGGAAAAUAAAACUUGUCUACCUAGAUGAGCACAUCCUCUACAAUACCACAAGGUAUUUUUAUGCAUCGAUUUGUGAGCUGUAACACAACUGGAGUUAGGUGUAAUUCUCCCAAUCCAAGUUUCAGAAAUACUGAGUAAGGCAAAAGAUUUACACUAGCUCCUAAGUACAACGAAGCAUUCUUAAAUAUAUUUUUCCCAAUACUACAUGAGAUAUUGGGGGAGCAUGAGUCUUUGAGAUACUGGGGGAGCAUGAGUCUUUGAAUUUUGGAAAAAUUUUAUGUUGGAGAAUAGAACUAAUGUUUUCUAUUAGAAAUGCCUUCUUUUAAGCAUGAAUGCUUCUCUUUUUAAUAAAAAAAUCGUUAAGAACACUACAAGAAAAUAGGCAAUAGAUGACGAGAAAUAAACGUCAUAAAAGAUGGUGCAUGACAGAUAGUUCAUCCAUCAUUUGUCAUUGUCAUUAAUUUAUGACAAAAUAUUUUUUGUCAUGAAUUCUUGAUGGUAUUUUACAAUCAUAUAUCCGUCACACAAUAUUUUAAU
rnacentral:lncRNA from 1 species